CAGCAGCCGCGGUAAUACAGAGGGUGCGAGCGUUAAUCGGAUUUACUGGGCGUAAAGCGUGCGUAGGCGGCUAAUUGAGUCGGAUGUGAAAUCCCCGAGCUUAACUUGGGAAUUGCAUUCGAUACUGGUUAGCUAGAGUGUGGGAGAGGAUGGUAGAAUUCCAGGUGUAGCGGUGAAAUGCGUAGAGAUCUGGAGGAAUACCGAUGGCGAAGGCAGCCAUCUGGCCUAACACUGACGCUGAGGUACGAAAGCAUGGGGAGCAAACAGGAUUAGAUACCCCUGUAGUCCCUGUCUUUAUACC
rnacentral:rRNA from 1 species